ACUUCGUGUUCUCACAUGGGUUUCACGAGGGGUGUUGCGUUUCGGAGGGUCCAGCACGCCGCCCCAUACCGUCCAAGUCAAGCACGAAAGCGGCCACUACCCAGGGAGGGUGUCAGGCCCGUGCGGCGGCGCCCGCGAGGGCACACAUGGCGCGGUCGGAAAGGGCCUCUCUGUAGAGUCGGGUUGCUUAAUAAUGCAGCCCAAAGCAGGUGGUAAACUCCAUCUAAGGCUGAAUAUUACCACGAGACCGAUAGCGAACAAGUACCGUGAGGGAAAGUUGAAAAGAACUUUGAAGAGAGAGUUCAAGAGUACGUGAAACCGUUAAGAGCCAAACGGAUGGAACCUCGAAGGUCGAAGUGGGGGGAUUCAGCUCGUCGGCCGUCAGCUGGUGUUUCGCGGAGACGUUAACUCGAAGCCACCCAAGAGAGCUUGGGUGUGCCCCUUACCCACGCUGGCGUCGGCGGGCGUAUUUCGCCUCGUAGUAGGGCGCCGCGACCCGUCGCUUGGGGACGUCGAAGGCCCGGACGGAAUGGUACCUUGCCUUCGGACUGGCCCUUCCUCUUUCCUGCGGGGCCGGUUUGAGGGGGUGAGCGAAACCGCCGGUGUAUGAUUUCCUGACUGCCCUGCGACGGUCGUGAAGAUGAGCCCCUGCUUCCACUCAUCCCUCUCUCUCUGUAUCUCUUUCUCCUCGUAGGAAGGGGUUGGAGGGCCAGGGUGGUAUUUGGUCGUGCGGGGCUCUCGCGGCGUGUAAACAGAUCGGUGAUCCAUCCGACCCGUCUUGAAACACGGACCAAGGAGUCUAACAUGUGUGCGAGUCAUUGGGCGAACUAAACCCAAAGGCGUAAUGAAAGUGACGACGAGUCCGGCGUCCCCAGGGAGCCGGACCCGGGGCAGAUCCUCAUGCGGAUUGCCUCCCUAACUGAAACAACAACCACCUCCUCUGUCUCACCGGGUGAGCUAUUAUCCCUGGCCGAGGCAUGCUAGGGUGGAUGGAACCGUUGGUUUUGGAGUGCGAAGGUUGUGUGCGAGUAACAUCGCGCGCAUGAUAUCCUGUCCGCAGGCGUGGCGCACGCCCGGGACUUGCCAGGACGCCGCCGGGCCCCCGCAUUCGACGGCUGCGAGGCCUUCGAAGCUCUGCUUCAGGCCGUGGCAGUGCGGUGGUCAUCACGCGUGCAGUCGGCAAGUACCAUGAGCAGGCAUGUUAGCACCCGAAAGAUGGUGAACUAUGCCUGGCCAGGAUGAAGCCAGAGGAAACUCUGGUGGAGGUCCGCAGCGAUUCUGACGUGCAAAUCGAUCGUCUGAGCUGGGUAUAGGGGCGAAAGACCAAUCGAACCAUCUAGUAGCUGGUUCCCUCUGAAGUUUCCCUCAGGAUAGCUGGAACUCGGGAGAAAGGAGGAAUUUCAUCCGGUAAAGCGAAUGAUUAGAGGUGUUGGGGACGGAAGGUCCUCAACCUAUUCUCAAACUUUAAAUGGGUGAGACGCCGAGCUUGCUUGAACGCUGAUGAUUGAUGAAGCUCCGGCGACUAAUCCGUGUGUCUAGUGGGCCAUUUUUGGUAAGCAGAACUGGCGCUGUGGGAUGAACCAAACGUCGAGUUAAGGGGCCUAAGCGAAUGCUAAUUCUGAUCCCAUCAAAAGGCGUUGGUUGCUACAGACAGCAGGGCGGUGGCCAUGGAAGUUGGAAUCCGCUUAGGAGUGUGUAACAACUCACCUGCCGAAGCAACUAACACUUAAAAUGGUAUGGCGCUCAAGCAUUCUCCCGAUACUCGACCGCCGGGGCACUAGCGGCCACGCCCCACCACAGGCGAGGUCUCGAAGCCCCGGUGAGUAAGAGGGUCGCGGUGGUGAGCGCUGAAGGGUCACGGCGUGGGCCGGCCUGGAGCCGCCACUGGUGCGGAUCUUGGUGGUAGUAGCAAAUAAUCAAGAGAGACUCCCUUGAUGACCGAUGAGGGGAAGGGUUCCAUGUGAACAUCAGUUGGACAUGGGUUAGUCGCUCCUAAGCCCAAGGCUAACGCCUGAUCCUACGCUAGCGGGAACGACCAACGGCUACGGCCAAAGGCCCAUCCGCUAGGGCAAACAACCUUCCUACACGUAAGAGGAGACUUGCACAUGCCCGAUCGCCCGACGUGCUCGGAUCAGCGUCCUCCAAGACGAAGACCGCGGAGAGUCGAGAAUACGGGACACAGACAGACCCAGUGUAUCGUUGUUGCCCGUGGAUCAGUGGCGAAAGGGAAUACGGUACUUAUUCCGUAACCUGGACUCGGACACAUGGCAGGCGCAAGCGCCCUUCUUCGCAAGGGAAUGCUGCUGCCCUGUUGAGGACCCCGGCAACGGGAACCAGCUCGCACCCAUCGGCGGUGGUCCGGGAAAGAGUUUUCUUUUCUGUUUAAGGCGCCGUGACCCUGUAAGCCAUUCUCAGAGAGAAAGGGUGUGGGUCAGUUGGUUAGCCGUAGAGCGCCGCGGUUCUUGCGGCGUCCCGCGUGCCACCGCCGGUCCGUGAAACUGCGAGUGAGGU
rnacentral:rRNA from 1 species